AGAAUGAAACUCAAACGGAAUUGACGGGGACCCGCACAAGUGGUGGAGCAUGUUGUUUAAUUCGACGAUACACGUAGAACCUUACCUAGACUUGACAUCCUUGGCGAAGUUAUAGAAAUAUAAUGGAGGUUAACCGAGAGACAGGUGGUGCAUGGUUGUCGUCAGCUCGUGUCGUGAGAUGUUGGGUUAAGUCCCGCAACGAGCGCAACCCUUAUCGUUAGUUAUUUUGUCUAACGAGACUGCCAACGCAAGUUGGAGGAAGGUGGGGAUGACGUCAAAUCAUCAUGCCCCUUAUGUCUAGGGCCACAAACGUGCUACAAUGGUCGGUACAAACAGUCGCUAAUUCGUAAGAUAGAGCUAAUCUGUAAAGCCGAUCUCAGUUCGGAUAGAGGGCUGAAAUUCGCCCUCUUGAAGUUGGAAUCACUAGUAAUCGCGAAUCAGCCAUGUCGCGGUGAAUACGUUCUCGGGUCUUGUACACACCGCC
rnacentral:rRNA from 1 species